rnacentral:lncRNA from 1 species
UUGGCGGUAGAAUUAGUGAUGAAAUCAGACUUAAAAUGUUAUGUAGCUUUCACCUGAACAUAAACACAAAAUUAUCAUUACAUGAUACAUGUUAAAUACAAGUUGCAUCACAUGCUAUGGUUAAAAUACAACAUACUCAAUGAAAAAGCAUAGGUCACAUAAAUUUACAGAUAAGUCAUAACAAUGCCAAUAGAAUAAUAGGAUAAUAUGGAACAAACUUUUUGACAGAGUGACCAACUUUGAAACUCAGUGGCUUCUAUGUAGUGAAUAUUUUAAUUACUUGUGGGGGUGUGGAAACUUUUGUUC